rnacentral:rRNA from 1 species
UUGGAGGGCAAGUCUGGUGCCAGCAGCCGCGGUAAUUCCAGCUCCAAUAGCGUAUAUUAAAGUUGUUGCAGUUAAAAAGCUCGUAGUUGAAUUUCGGGGUCAGCAGGUUGGUCGUGCCAAUGGUAUGCACUGGCCUCGCUGAUUCCUCCCUCUUGAUGAGCCGUAAUGUCAUUAAUUUGGUGUUGCGGGGAAUCAGGACUGUUACUUUGAAAAAAUUAGAGUGUUUAAAGCAGGCAAGCGCUUGAAUACAUUAGCAUGGAAUAAUGAAAUAGGACGUUUGAUCCUAUUUUGUUGGUUUCUAGGAUUGACGUAAUGAUUAAUAGGGAUAGUUGGGGGCAUUAGUAUUCAAUUGUCAGAGGUGAAAUUCUUGGAUUUAUUGAAGACUAACUACUGCGAAAGCAUUUGCCAAGGAUGUUUUCAUUAAUCAAGAACGAAAGUUAGGGGAUCGAAGACGAUCAGAUACCGUCGUAGUCUUAACCAUAAACUAUGCCGACUAGGGAUCGGAUGAUGUUAAUUUUUUAAUGACUCAUUCGGCGCCUUACGGGAAAC